rnacentral:rRNA from 1 species
GGUUAAGUGACUAAGCGUACACGGUGGAUGCCUUGGCAGUUGGAGGCGAUGAAGGACGUAUUAACUUGCGAUAAGCCUAGUCAAGCUAGUAAAAAGCACUUGAGACUAGGAUUUCCGAAUGGGGAAACCCACCUGCUUGCAGGUAUCGUUAACUGAAUACAUAGGUUAACGAGGCGAACGCGGAGAACUGAAACAUCUAAGUACCCGUAGGAAAAGAAAUCAACCGAGAUUCCGAAAGUAGCGGCGAGCGAAAUCGGAACAGCCCUUAAGCUUAUUAUGUGUUAAUGGAAGGCUGCUGGAAAGCGCCACGAUACAGGGUGAUAGUCCCGUACAUGAAAAGACAUUUUAAGUGAAAUCGAGUAGGUCGGAGCACGUGAAACUUUGACUGAAUAUAGGUGGACCAUCAUCUAAGGCUAAAUACUCCCAACUGACCGAUAGUGAACCAGUACCGUGAGGGAAAGGCGAAAAGAACCCCUGUGAGGGGAGUGAAAUAGAACCUGAAACCGUGUACGUACAAGCAGUAGGAGCCCACUUGUUGGGUGACUGCGUACCUUUUGUAUAAUGGGUCAGCGACUUAUAUUUUGUAGCGAGGUUAACCGAAUAGGGUAGCCGUAGGGAAACCGAGUCUUAACUGGGCGAAUAGUUGCAAGGUAUAGACCCGAAACCCGGUGAUCUAGCCAUGAGCAGGUUGAAGGUUGAGUAACAUCAACUGGAGGACCGAACCCACUAACGUUGAAAAGUUAGGGGAUGACUUGUGGUUAGGAGUGAAAGGCUAAUCAAACCGGGAGAUAGCUGGUUCUCCCCGAAAUCUAUUUAGGUAGAGCCUCGGACGAAUACUUACGGGGGUAGAGCACUGUUAAGGCUAGGGGGUCAUCCCGACUUACCAACCC